UACAGAGGGUGCGAGCGUUGUCCGGAAUCACUGGGCGUAAAGGGCGCGUAGGUGGCCGUGCAAGUCCCUGGUGAAAGCUCGAUGCUCAACAUCGAGUCGGCCAGAGAUACUGCAGGGCUGGAGCACUGUAGAGGGAACUGGAAUUUACGGUGUAGCAGUGAAAUGCGUAGAUAUCGUAAGGAAGACCAGUGGCGAAGGCGAGUUCCUGGACAGUUGCUGACACUGAGGCACGAAGGCUAGGGGAGCAAACGGG
rnacentral:rRNA from 1 species